GUGGAUGCUCUUUUCAGCUUGUUGCUCUGAAGCAAAACAAAGUGUGCUGCAGAUGGUCUUUCCUCCUGGUUCUGAAACUGUGAAGUGUCAUCAGUAGAGGCAGAAGCAGCUAAAGUAUGAUGGCUGUGCGCAUCAUACGUGGGAUGGAAGACCUGGUGGCAUCAGGCAGCCAGCUCGUUUGGAGUCUGGCGCAUCAGACCCUGAGGAGGUGGUACAAUCGUGGGCUGAUGCCAUGCAGACGCUUCCUAGAAGCCUGGUUCAGGAUUGGAAAAUGCUACCAGAUGACAGAGGGCCGCCUGUGUCAGGUUCACCUCCUUGAUGGCAGGAAGCUGGAGUUGCUGGUUCAGCCCAAGCUGUUGUCCCGUGAGCUGUUAGAUUUGGUGGCCUCACAUUUUAACCUGAAGGAAAAAGAAUACUUUGGGUUGUCUUACAUAGAUGACACUGGCCAGAAUAACUGGCUCCACAUGGAUCGUAAAGUCCUUGAUCAUGACUUCUCCAAGACUUCGGGGCCUUUGGAACUCAAGUUCCUGGUGAGGUUUUAUAUUGAGAAGAUCACUUUUUUGAAAGACAACACAACAGUGGAGCUGUUCUUCCUGAACGCUAAAUCUUUAGUGUUCAAUGAGACCAUCGAAGUGGAGAGUGAAAAUGUUUUCAAGUUAGCCGCAUUCGCAUUGCAGGAGGCCAAAGGAGAAUACACCAGUGCUGAGAUUGCCAGAUUAGACCUAAAGCAGCUCCCAGUUCUGCCCACCAGAGUGUUAAGGGAGCACCCAUCUCUCAAUUACUGUGAGGACAAAGUGAUUGAACAUUACAAGAAACUGAAGGGACUAACCAGAGGAAAAGCUAUUGUGCAGUAUUUGGCCCUGGUGGAGUCCCUGCCUACAUACGGAGUCCAUUAUUACCCAGUCAAGGAUAAGCAAGGAAUACCGUGGUGGCUGGGAGUCAGCUAUAAAGGCAUUGGCCAGUAUGAUUUGCAGGAUAAACUGAAACCGAGAAAGUUGUAUCAGUGGAAGCAGUUAGAGAAUUUGUAUUUCCGCGAGAAGAAAUUUGCCGUGGAAGUGAACGACCCUCACAGAAGAACAGUGACCAAGCGAACUUUUGGACAGACUGGUCUGGUUAUUCACACGUGGUAUGCCAGCCACUCUCUGAUUAAAACCAUCUGGGUGAUGGCCAUCAGUCAGCACCAGUUCUACCUGGACAGAAAGCAAAGCAAAUCAACAAUGACCACAACCAGGAGUUCAGGAGACAUCGCCAUGGACCUAACAGAGAUCUGUGCCCCGCGUAUCAGUAAACUUUCCAGCACUGAGAGCAGAGACCAGCUUAUCAUGGCCAGCAACGGAAGCCUGAUCUCAGCUGGUUCUGCUGACUCUGAAGUCAAUGAGGAACAGAAGAAAGAGAAGGUUGCUGAGUUGAAAAAGAAAGAGAAGGACCUUAAAGACACACUGACACAGAAACUUGAGGAACUGAAAAAGAUCUGCAUGAGAGAAGCUGAACUUACUGGCAGAUUGCCUAAAGAGUAUCCCUUGGCCACAGGUGAGAAAGCUCCUCACAUACGGCGCCGGGUUGGGACAGCCUUCAAGCUGGAUGACCUUUUCCCCUAUGAUGAGGACCCAUAUCUGAGGAAUCUGGAGAGCAGGUUUGCCUUGCAGCAGAAGAUUGUGGAAGCAGCCAUGAAGUUAUCCAAUGAGGGUGACCUCUGCAAGACAGUGAAGAAAAAGAGGAGAAACAACUGUCUGGAUGCGAUGAGGAAGUUGGAGGAGAUCGAAAGGGAGAUCAACGCCUACAGAAUCAAGAAAGGAAGGAAACCCACCCAGAGAGCCUCACUCAUCUUAGCAGAUGACGUCAACCCUUCAGACCUCAGCUCUCUAUCUGACAGCCUCACUCUGGAUGACGAUGAUGAGCUCAGUAACCAGAGACAGCGGUCCAGAUCGGUUCAGUAUUCCCCAAGACCACACCAUGCAGAAACUCUGGACAUCCACUACAACAAUGGCAGACGGGACUCGGCCAAUGAUGAGCAUGCAGACAGCAGAUUAUAUUACGGCCAAGUCCAGGAAUCUCUCCACUACAGUCACCAUACUGCCUUAUCAAGCCACAGCAGCCCGUUUAAACCGGCUUCCAGACAGCCACGUGAUGCCUGCAGCAUGCCCCCCACCCCCCUCCUUUCCCGCAACGCCCACAGCAGCACUCAACUCAGAUCAGAGGAUGCUCCUCAACAUUUCCGCCAGCGUAGCGGUAGUCUGGAGUACCAGUCUCAGCUCCUGACAGAGACAGAACCUCCUGUACCAACGUUGACCUUCUCCCCAGCCCGACGCAGCAACAGCACUGAGGUCCUCGAUGACGGCUCCUCCUACACAAGCCAAUCCAGCGUAGAGUACAGUAUCCCUGGUAACCACACGCAUAGGCGCAGAGCUCGCGGUCGCCACAGAAAGGACGUGUAUGCCAACACAGGUAGCAUGCCUAACCUGGCUCAGCCCGACACCCGCUGCUACGCCUACCAGCCACAGGCCAGACCCACCACAACAGCCUACUAUGUGACGGGUUAUCCCAGCUACGCAGAACCAGAGCCUUACUCUAAUGGAGUCUACAUGUACGGCAAUGAGAUGGAGGGACACUACAACGUCAAUCCUCCAUACAACUCCACCCCAACAGCUUAUCACAGCCACGACUUCCACAGUCACUAUGGUAUCGACGAGAUAGACAGCAUGUCGCAGAACCCGUACGCCACGCUGCGGCCACCCAGGAACCGCCAGGUGCCCCGCAGCAGCGAGCAGGUCGGCAAGAACAUCCAGAAGGCUUUGGUGGCUGAACACUUGAGAGGCUGGUACCAUCGUAAUGCUGCACACAAACAGGCAGCAUACAACUAUGACUAUGACAGAGGCUCCCAGCAGAGCCUGGGCUGUCAUACCAUGCCUGCACCCAACAGCCACAACAACAGGAACAUCUACUCCUCAGCGUCCUCUAGUGUAAACUGGCACAACCACAUGAGUGGUGGUGGUAUGUUGGAAUAUGACAUGCCCAUGCACGCGCCGCAGACCUACUCUUACAGUACAGCCCCCUACAGCCACUCCGCCCACAACAGAUAUGGCUCCUCACAGCUCUUUAAGGGUUCCCAGUACAGCCCUGAUGGCCAGAGACGCUGUGCCUUUUCCCCUGCUAGUUCUUCCUCCUCAGCUUCCUCCUCCAUCUCCUCCCUACCCUCCUCCUCCUUUACCUCCUCCUACUCCCCCGGCUGCCGGGUCAGACAGGUGCCCUCCAGCCCUGCACAGCCACAAUCCUCCAGAGGGCACAGGCUCAGUAAGGUGUCCUUUGCUAAAGAUGUCCCCCCGAGUUUGAGUGGCGGAGCAGUGAUAGGAUGGCGUGCCCUGUGGGGCCUUUAGAGAGGUGUGGUGCUGUUGCCUAUGCUACUGACCAAGAAAAUUAACCCCCUCCCCUCAAUUAUCAGUCUCAGCAAAGAAGAAAGGAUCCUACAUAGAUGUCAGCCAAAUGGACUCACACACCAGUAACCAAAUGCACACUAACCUGGAACCUGAGGAGCAGAUUUACUGGCAUGAAGACUCCAAACCGGGAACAAUAGUGUAGUUGCCUGUCUCUCAAUGUGCUGUAUAAACUUUCACCUUGACAAGUUGUCAUUGUGCCUUAGAUUGCACUUACCUGUUCUGUUCAAGAAGAUCCAACAAAUGAAGGAACGGGACCUAUCUGUCGGAUUCAGCGUGUAAAGGAAACAAAGCGCUCUCACUUUCUGUUCUCUUGAAUGCAAUUGCCAAACUGACCGACAACUACUUUGUGUUUUAAAUCAUAACACAUCUUCAUGUCUGGAUUGCAAGUUUGUGGUGACGGCACUUGUGAACUGAAGCUGAACCAGGACCUUAGGUGGACUAAACUUCUCCAGUGGUUUACUGACGACAUGCAGACUUCACAAACCAAGGACUAGUACCGUCUCUGUGAGAAGACACUGAGCCACAAUGAACAAAGCUCUGCGCACAUGUAUGAACAGUGUAACAAUGAAGGAUUGGACAAGGACUUACAGCAUAAGGACAUUAUCACAAUGAAGGAUUUAACUCAUUAAAAAUGAGUCCAAAAGGUGGCUACUUCCUGUAGCAUUCUGCAGUCACCCCUCUAGUUUUAUCAUUGCAUAGCUUGUGUCUACCACACUGUACUUUAGUUUGUCAUUUACAAAGUAUUCAAUCUAUCUCAUGGUCAGUGCUUACAGUACAAUUGAGCCAAAUAUAUGUCACCAUUUGAGUAUUACCCAAAGUCCCAAACUUUGAUAUCACUGCCACAUCUGAUAAGUCACUGCAGGAUUACCGAAAAUCCAGUUUUAUUUUUUAUUUUAACAUGGUUAUUUAUCCAUGCUGGAAAUCAUGGACUGGUGCUCCCAAUUUCUCUUAAGAGAAUCGAGCUGUAUGUAUAUGUUGAUAUUGUAAAUACACUGGUUCUGUCUUUUUUAGAGGAUUUUUUAUGUAUUUGAGAAGCAUGUAAUAUAUAGUAAACAACUGUUGUUAAGCUGGUUCUUAGUAAUUUGUAUAAUUGCAUUUGUUUGAAUUAAAAGAAAAUCAGCAUUUGAAACAGUU